AUGAGAGGAACAAGAUUACCAGAUAGCGGCCGACGGCUGCGAAAUCGAGAGGCGACUGUUGGUAUUGUUGUUCAUGGCAGCACAAAUUUCAGAUGUACCGCAGUGGCUUUGCACGGAAGAUCUGGGAUGGUCGAAGUCGCGGCUGAAGCUUGUAGAUCAUGGGAAGGGUGUUGUUCAUGGUUAUCGUCAGAUGGUGUGUAA